UGGUGGCGAUAGCGACGAGGUCACACCCGUUCCCAUACCGCACACGGAAGUUAAGCUCUUCAGCGCCGAUGGUAGUCGGGGGUUUCCCCCUGUGAGAGUAGGACGCCGCCA
rnacentral:rRNA from 1 species